UGGGGAAUUUUGGACAAUGGGGGAAACCCUGAUCCAGCCAUCCCGCGUGUGCGAUGAAGGCCUUCGGGUUGUAAAGCACUUUCGGCUGGAAAGAAACGUCAUGGGUUAAUACCCCGUGAAACUGACGGUACCUGCAGAAUAAGCACCGGCUAACUACGUGCCAGCAGCCGCGGUAAUACGUAGGGUGCAAGCGUUAAUCGGAAUUACUGGGCGUAAAGCGUGCGCAGGCGGUUCGGAAAGAAAGAUGUGAAAUCCCAGAGCUCAACUUUGGAACUGCAUUUUUAACUACCGGGCUAGAGUGUGUCGGAGGGAGGUGGAAUUCCGCAUGUAGCAGUGAAAUGCGUAGAUAUGCGGAGGAACACCGAUGGCGAAGGCAGCCUCCUGGGAUAACACUGACGCUCAUGCACGAAAGCGUGGGGAGCAAACAGG
rnacentral:rRNA from 1 species